rnacentral:rRNA from 2 species
UACAGAGGUCUCGAGCGUUAAUCGGAAUUACUGGGCUUAAAGGGUGCGUAGGCGGUUCCGUAAGUGCCUUGUGAAAUCCCAUGGCUUAACCAUGGAAUUGCUCGGUAGACUGCGGGGCUUGAGGUCAGUAGGGGUCGCUGGAACUCUAGGUGGAGCGGUGAAAUGCGUAGAUAUCUAGAGGAACGCCAAAGGUGAAGACAGGCGACUGGGCUGAAUCUGACGCUGAGGCACGAAAGCGUGGGUAGCGAACGGG